rnacentral:rRNA from 1 species
AUUAGAGUUUGAUCCUGGCUCAGAAUGAACGCUGGCGGCGUGCCUAACACAUGCAAGUCGAACGAGAAAGCCAGCAAUGGUGAGUACAGUGGCGCACGGGUGAGUAAUACAUAGGAAUCUGCCUCUGAGUGGAGAAUACCCUAGAGAAAUUUAGGUUAAUACUGCAUAAGCCCGCAAGGGGAAAGGUGGCCUCAAGCUGCCGCUGAGAGAUGAGCCUAUGGCCUAUUAGCUAGUUGGAGAGGUAAAAGCUCACCAAGGCGAAGAUGGGUAGCCGGCCUGAGAGGGUGUACGGCCACACUGGAACUGAGACACGGUCCAGACUCCUACGGGAGGCAGCAGUGGGGAAUCUUGCACAAUGGGCGAAAGCCUGAUGCAGCGACGCCGCGUGGAGGAUGACGGUCUUCGGAUUGUAAACUCCUGUUAAGUGGGAAGAAAGAUCCAUACCUAAUACGUAUGGAGGAUGACGGUACCACUAGAGAAAGCACCGGCAAACUUCGUGCCAGCAGCCGCGGUAAUACGAAGGGUGCUAGCGUUAUUCGGAUUAACUGGGCGUAAAGAGCGUGUCGGCGGUCUUUUAAGUCAACUGUAAAAGAGCUCGGCUUAACCGAGUAAAUGCGGGUGAUACUGGAAGACUAGAGUACUGGAGAGAAAGGUAGAAUUCUCGGAGUAGCGGUAAAAUGCGUAGAUCUCGAGAGGAAUACCGGUUGCGAAGGCGGCCUUUUGGUCAGUAACUGACGCUUAAGCGCGAAAGCGUGGGGAGCAAACAGGAUUAGAUACCCUGGUAGUCCACGCCGUAAACGAUGAUCACUAGAUGUGGGUCGUGCAUAGCAUGAUCUGUGUCGUAGCUAACGCGUUAAGUGAUCCGCCUGGGAAUUACGGUCGCAAGAUUAAAACUCAAAGGAAUUGACGGGGGUCCGCACAAGCGGUGGAACAUGUGGUUUAAUUCGACACUACGCGAGAAACCUUACCUAGGCUUGACAUGUAACUGCUACUGAUAGAAAUAUUGGGUUCUGUAGCAAUACAGACGGUUACACAGGUGCUGCAUGGCUGUCGUCAGCUCGUGUCGUGAGACGUCGGGUUAAGUCCUUGAACGAGCGCAACCCUUGCCGUUAGUUGCCUGUCGUAAGGCGGCACUCUAGCGGGACUGCCGUGGAAACACGGAGGAAGGUGGGGAUGACGUCAAGUCCUCAUGGCCCUUAUGCCUAGGGCUACACACGUGUUACAAUGGCGAGCAACAAAAGGAUGCAAUACCGCGAGGUGGAGCAAAUCCCUAAAACUCG